rnacentral:rRNA from 1 species
UACGGAGGGUGCGAGCGUUGUCCGGAAUCAUUGGGCGUAAAGGGCGCGUAGGUGGCCCGGUCAGCGUGCGGUGAAAGCUCGGGGCUCAACCCCGAGUCGGCCGUGCGAACUGCUGGGCUGGAGCACUGUAGAGGCAGGCGGAAUUCCGGGUGUAGCGGUGGAAUGCGUAGAGAUCCGGAAGAACACCCGUGGCGAAAGCGGCGCGCUGGACCACUACUGACGCUGAGGAACGAAAGCUAGGGGAGCAAACAGGAGUUAGAA